rnacentral:rRNA from 1 species
CUAAGCGUACACGGUGGAUGCCCUGGCAGUCAGAGGCGAUGAAGGGCGUGCUAAUCUGCGAUAAGCGCCGGUAAGGUGAUAUGAACCGUUAUAACCGGCGAUACCCGAAUGGGGAAACCCAGUGUGAUUCGUCACACUAUCAUUAACUGAAUCCAUAGGUUAAUGAGGCGAACCGGGGGAACUGAAACAUCUAAGUACCCCGAGGAAAAGAAAUCAACCGAGAUUCCCCCAGUAGCGGCGAGCGAACGGGGAGGAGCCCAGAGCCUGAAUCAGCAUGUGUGUUAGUGGAAGCGUCUGGAAAGGCGCGCGAUACAGGGUGACAGCCCCGUACACAAAAGCGCAUGUGCUGUGAGCUCGAUGAGUAGGGCGGGACACGUGGUAUCCUGUCUGAAUAUGGGGGGACCAUCCUCCAAGGCUAAAUACUCCUGACUGACCGAUAGUGAACCAGUACCGUGAGGGAAAGGCGAAAAGAACCCCGGCGAGGGGAGUGAAAAAGAACCUGAAACCGUGUACGUACAAGCAGUGGGAGCACAGGUUUACCUGUGUGACUGCGUACCUUUUGUAUAAUGGGUCAGCGACUUAUAUUCUGUAGCAAGGUUAACCGUAUAGGGGAGCCGGAGGGAAACCGAGUCUUAAUUGGGCGUUAAGUUGCAGGGUAUAGACCCGAAACCCGGUGAUCUAGCCAUGGGCAGGUUGAAGGUUGGGUAACACUAACUGGAGGACCGAACCGACUAAUGUUGAAAAAUUAGCGGAUGACCUGUGGCUGGGGGUGAAAGGCCAAUCAAACCGGGAGAUAGCUGGUUCUCCCCGAAAGCUAUUUAGGUAGCGCCUCGUGAAUUCAUCUCCGGGGGUAGAGCACUGUUUCGGCUAGGGGGCCAUCCCGGCUUACCAACCCGAUGCAAACUGCGAAUACCGGAGAAUGUUAUCACGGGAGACACACGGCGGGUGCUAACGUCCGUCGUGAAGAGGGAAACAACCCAGACCGCCAGCUAAGGUCCCAAAGUCAUGGUUAAGUGGGAAACGAUGUGGGAAGGCCCAGACAGCCAGGAUGUUGGCUUAGAAGCAGCCAUCAUUUAAAGAAAGCGUAAUAGCUCACUGGUCGAGUCGGCCUGCGCGGAAGAUGUAACGGGGCUAAACCAUGCACCGAAGCUGCGGCAGCGAACGUAUCACCCAAGACAACUUUACGGAGUUGACGAUUGACGGAGCGAAGCGACGUCAAAGCGUUCAUUAAAGUCGAGUUGGCUUAGGGAUACGUUCGUUGGGUAGGGGAGCGUUCUGUAAGCCUGUGAAGGUGUGUCGUGAGGCAUGCUGGAGGUAUCAGAAGUGCGAAUGCUGACAUAAGUAACGAUAAAGCGGGUGAAAAGCCCGCUCGCCGGAAGACCAAGGGUUCCUGUCCAACGUUAAUCGGGGCAGGGUGAGUCGACCCCUAAGGCGAGGCCGAAAGGCGUAGUCGAUGGGAAACGGGUUAAUAUUCCCGUACUUGGUGUUACUGCGAAGGGGGGACGGAGAAGGCUAUGUUGGCCGGGCGACGGUUGUCCCGGUUUAAGCGUGUAGGUGUGUGUUCCAGGUAAAUCCGGUUCACUUUAACACUGAGGCGUGACGACGAGGCACUACGGUGCUGAAGCAACAAAUGCCCUGCUUCCAGGAAAAGCCUCUAAGCAUCAGGUAACAUCAAAUCGUACCCCAAACCGACACAGGUGGUCAGGUAGAGAAUACCAAGGCGCUUGAGAGAACUCGGGUGAAGGAACUAGGCAAAAUGGUGCCGUAACUUCGGGAGAAGGCACGCUGACACGUAGGUGAAGUGAUUUACUCAUGGAGCUGAAGUCAGUCGAAGAUACCAGCUGGCUGCAACUGUUUAUUAAAAACACAGCACUGUGCAAACACGAAAGUGGACGUAUACGGUGUGACGCCUGCCCGGUGCCGGAAGGUUAAUUGAUGGGGUCAGCGCAAGCGAAGCUCCUGAUCGAAGCCCCGGUAAACGGCGGCCGUAACUAUAACGGUCCUAAGGUAGCGAAAUUCCUUGUCGGGUAAGUUCCGACCUGCACGAAUGGCGUAAUGAUGGCCAGGCUGUCUCCACCCGAGACUCAGUGAAAUUGAACUCGCUGUGAAGAUGCAGUGUACCCGCGGCAAGACGGAAAGACCCCGUGAACCUUUACUAUAGCUUGACACUGAACAUUGAGCCUUGAUGUGUAGGAUAGGUGGGAGGCUUUGAAGUGUGGACGCCAGUCUGCAUGGAGCCGACCUUGAAAUACCACCCUUUAAUGUUUGAUGUUCUAACGUGGACCCGUAAUCCGGGUUGCGGACAGUGUCUGGUGGGUAGUUUGACUGGGGCGGUCUCCUCCUAAAGAGUAACGGAGGAGCACGAAGGUUGGCUAAUCCUGGUCGGACAUCAGGAGGUUAGUGCAAUGGCAUAAGCCAGCUUGACUGCGAGCGUGACGGCGCGAGCAGGUGCGAAAGCAGGUCAUAGUGAUCCGGUGGUUCUGAAUGGAAGGGCCAUCGCUCAACGGAUAAAAGGUACUCCGGGGAUAACAGGCUGAUACCGCCCAAGAGUUCAUAUCGACGGCGGUGUUUGGCACCUCGAUGUCGGCUCAUCACAUCCUGGGGCUGAAGUAGGUCCCAAGGGUAUGGCUGUUCGCCAUUUAAAGUGGUACGCGAGCUGGGUUUAGAACGUCGUGAGACAGUUCGGUCCCUAUCUGCCGUGGGCGCUGGAGAACUGAGGGGGGCUGCUCCUAGUACGAGAGGACCGGAGUGGACGCAUCACUGGUGUUCGGGUUGUCAUGCCAAUGGCACUGCCCGGUAGCUAAAUGCGGAAGAGAUAAGUGCUGAAAGCAUCUAAGCACGAAACUUGCCCCGAGAUGAGUUCUCCCUGAGACUUAGAGUCUCCUGAAGGAACGUUGAAGACGACGACGUUGAUAGGCCGGGUGUGUAAGCGCAGCGAUGCGUUGAGCUAACCGGUACUAAUGAACCGUGAGGCUUAACCUUACA